rnacentral:rRNA from 1 species
GACGAACCGUGCGAACGUUGUUCGGAAUCACUGGGCGUAAAGCGCACGUAGGCGGUUUCUUAAGUCAGGGGUGAAAUCCUGGAGCUCAACUCCAGAACUGCCUUUGAUACUGGGAGACUUGGAGUCCGGGAGAGGUGAGUGGAACUGCGAGUGUAGAGGUGAAAUUCGUAGAUAUUCGCAAGAACACCAGUGGCGAAGGCGGCUCACUGGCCCGGUACUGACGCUGAGGUGCGAAAGCGUGGGGAGCAAACAGG